rnacentral:lncRNA from 7 species
GCAACCAGCUUUAAACACUUAAACCAGUCCAGUCCAGUCCAGCCCGACCAGCUCAGCCCGUCGUGCAUGUGAGACGAAAAUGAAGCCCAACCCAACCUCGGUGACGGCGACACGUGCCAAGCCGCGUCCCCGCCCCCCAUCUCCGGUGCUUGCCGAGGCGGCGCUGGAGACCGGCCAGAGCACGGGCUGCGGCGUCCCACCUUCGAACUGACCCUCUUCAAGUUUCCUACCACCAACGCGGCCUGCGCCCCCCAAUUGGCCUGGCCUGCUAGCUCCGACUCCAAUGCAGAAAGCAGGAAUGGGGAAGAGGAGAGGUGAUGCACAAACUGAGAAACUCCUGCAUUAUAGGAGUAGAUAUUAUGCUCCACCCCCAAGCUGCUGCCACUGCCAUUCUCUGGAAUCAAUCAUAUUCCUUGCCAGGUUGAACUCCAGGACAAAAGGUUCAGAUUAAUGGGAAGAUGCAGCUUGGAGCCAAUAAUAAGCCUGUGGGGCCGAUAUUGUUUUCUUUAAGUUCCUCUUUGCAACAACUCUCCACUCUUUAAAACAAGCAGCAUUGUUGGAUUGUCUUCAUUCAAUUCCACUGUAUUAGCAACAUCUAGUAAUUAUUAAUAUGAUGAGAGAAAAUGACUUCAAUGACUAUUAAGAAUCUGCCAAAAGAUAACUACUUAAU